GUUGGUGUUGUCUGUACUGUCAUGGUGGUUUCAGAGAGGGUUAGUUGGUGUUGUCUGUACUGUCAUGGUGGUUUCAGAGAGGGUUAGUUGGUAUUGUCUGUACUGUCAUGGUGGUUUCAGAGAGGGUUAGAUGGUGGUUGUCUGGGGUUGGUAGAUGAGGUGAGAUUAGCUUGGCGUCUGUGAACUGUAGUGUUAUUGUUCUAAGAUUGUAGAGUGGCGUGAUGGAUGGAUGGAUGGAUGGAUGGAUAGGUGGUGGGAGUACAUUAUUAGAAGGAUUCCACAGGUUGUUGUGGUAGAUAAGAUGUAUCAGUCACUGUCUGACAGUGGAUAGGAUGUUUGCUGUAGUGUUGUUAGUGGAGGUUAGGACUAGUAACAGGGAUGUUGUAGUGUUUGUGGAGGUUAGGACUAGUAACAGGGAUGUUGUAGUGUUAGUGGAGGUUAGGACUAGUAACAGGGAUGUUGUGGUGUAGGUGUAGGUUAGGACUAGUAACAGGGAUGUUGUGGUGUUAGUGGAGGUUAGGACUAGUAAGAGGGAUGUUGUAGUGUUUGUGGAGGUUAGGACUAGUGACAGGGAUGUUGUGGUGUUGGUGUAGGUUAGGACUAGUAACAGGGAUGUUGUGGUGUUGGUGGAGGUUAGGACUAGUAACAGGGAUGUUGUAGUGUUUGUGGAGGUUAGGACUAGUAACAGGGAUGUUGUAGUGUUGGUGGAGGUUAGGACUAGUAACAGGGAUGUUGUAGUGUUAGUGGAGGUUAGGACUAGUAACAGGGAUGUUGUGGUAUUGGUGGAGGUUAGGACUAGUAACAGGGAUGUUGUAGUGUUAGUGGAGGUUAGGACUAGUAACAGGGAUGUUGUAGUGUUGGUGGAGGUUAGGACUAGUAACAGGGAUGUUGUGGUGUUGGUGUAGGUUAGGACUAGUUACAGGGAUGUUGUAAUGUUAGUGGAGGUUAGGACUAGUAACAGGGAUGUUGUAGUGUUGGUGGACGUUAGGACUAGUAACAGGGAUGUUGUGGAGGUUAGGACUAGUAACAGGGAUGUUGUAGUGUUAAUGGAGGUUAGGAUUAGUAACAGGGAUGUUGUGGAGGUUAGGACUAGUAACAGGGAUGUUGUAGUGUUUGUGGAGGUUAGGACUAGUAACAGGGAUGUUGUGGAGGUUAGGACUAGUAACAGGGAUGUUGUGGAGGUUAGGACUAGUAACAGGGAUGUUGUAGUGUUGGUGGAGGUUAGGACUAGUAACAGGGAUGUUGUAGUGUUGGUGGAGGUUAGGACUAGUAACAGGGAUGUUGUGGUGUUGGUGGAGGUUAGGACUAGUAACAGGGAUGUUGUGGAGGUUAGGACUAGUAACAGGGAUGUUGUAGUGUUAAUGGAGGUUAGGAUUAGUAACAGGGAUGUUGUGGAGGUUAGGACUAGUAACAGGGAUGUUGUAGUGUUUGUGGAGGUUAGGACUAGUAACAGGGAUGUUGUAGUGUUUGGAGGUUAGGACUAGUAACAGGGAUGUUGUAGUGUUUGUGGAGGUUAGGACUAGUAACAGGGAUGUUGUGGUGUUUGUGGAGGUUAGGACUAGUGACAGGGAUGUUGUGGUGUUAGUGGAGGUUAGGACUAGUGACAGGGAUGUUGUGGUGUUAGUGGAGGUUAGGACUAGUAACAGGGAUGUUGUAGUGUUAGUGGAGGUUAGGACUAGUAACAGGGAUGUUGUAGUGUUAGUGGAGGUUAGGACUAGUAACAUGGAUGUUGUGGAGGUUAGUGGAGGUUAGGACUAGUAACAGGGAUGUUGUAGUGUUAGUGGAGGUUAGGACUAGUAACAUGGAUGUUGUGGAGGUUAGUGGAGGUUAGGACUAGUAACAGGGAUGUUGUAGUGUUUGGAGGUUAGGACUAGUAACAGGGAUGUUGUAGUGUUCGUGGAGGUUAGGACUAGUAACAGGGAUGUUGUAGGGUUAGUGGAGGUUAGGACUAGUAACAGGGAUGUUGUAGUGUUUGGAGGUUAGGACUAGUAACAGGGAUGUUGUAGUGUUUGUGGAGGUUAGGACUAGUAACAGGGAUGUUGUAGUGUUUGGAGGUUAGGACUAGUAACAGGGAUGUUGUGGUGUCGGUGUAGGUUAGGACUAGUAACAGGGAUGUUGUAGUGUUCAUUGAGGUUAGGACUAGUAACAGGGAUGUUGUAGUGUUAGUGGAGGUUAGGACUAGUUACAGGGAUGUUGUAGUGUUCAUUGAGGUUAGGACUAGUAACAGGGAUGUUGUAGUGUUCAUUGAGGUUUGGACUAGUAACAGGGAUGUUGUAGUGUUAGUGGAGGUUUGGACUAGUGACAGGGUUACAGAGCCAUGGUGGUGUUGAUGUUGUCUCUAUGGAAGUGCUGCCCUGGAAGAGCAAGGUAUUCAUCCAGUGUUGUAGACCCAGCCGUGCAUUUCUCUCUCUGUCAUUUUCUGUCUCUUUCUGUCUGUCUCUCUUUGUCGCUCUCUCUUUCUCUCGCUCUCCCUCCUUCUCUCUCUUCAUCUGUCUCUCGGCCUUUCGCUCUAUCUCGCCCUCUGUGUGUUAGUGAUUACAUCACUCGCCCUCUCUGUCUCUUUCUCUCUCUCUCUCUCUCUCUCUCUCUCUCUCUCUCUCUCUCUCUCUCGCCAUCUCUGUGUCUCUCUCUCGCCCUCUCUGUCUCUCUCUCUCUCUCUCUCUGCCUCUUGCAUAACUGCCAGCUUUAUUUGCUCCAGCUGAGGACUAAUCUUUCCCGCGAGACAGACGGAAGGAACAAGGGAGAGGAGGAGAGCAGGACAAGCCAACCUUUCUAACCUGACUGGACGCUCUGCCUCGUUAAUUCAAUCAGUCCACAAAUUAAUGGGCUUUAGAGCAGAGCCCUGUUUACAACCACCGUGACCUGUGUGUUUAUGUAGCGGUGUUUUUAAUCUUUAAAACCCCACAACCUUCUCCAACUGUAGCUGAGUUGACGCGUGGUUUCCCAUCAUCUGUGU
rnacentral:lncRNA from 1 species